rnacentral:rRNA from 1 species
UGUCGGGUAAGUUCCGACCCGCACGAAAGGCGUAACGAUUUGGGCACUGUCUCAACAACAGACUCGGUGAAAUUGUAAUUCCGGUGAAGAUGCCGGAUACCUGCGACAGGACGGAAAGACCCCAUGGGGCUUUACUGUAGCUUGACAUUGGGUCUUGGUACUACAUGUACAGGAUAGGUGGGAGGCUUUGAAACCAGGACGCCAGUUUUGGCGGAGCCAUCCUUGGGAUACCACCCUUGUAGUACUGGGACUCUAACCAUAGGCCAUGAA